GAGAAUCUUGAUGAUGCU
rnacentral:siRNA from 1 species